UACGUAGGGUGCGAGCGUUGUCCGGAAUUACUGGGCGUAAAGAGCUCGUAGGCGGUUUGUCGCGUCUGCCGUGAAAGUCCGGGGCUCAACUCCGGAUCUGCGGUGGGUACGGGCAGACUAGAGUGAUGUAGGGGAGACUGGAAUUCCCGGUGUAGCGGUGAAAUGCGCAGAUAUCGGGAGGAACACCGGUGGCGAAGGCGGUUCUCUGGGCCUGUACUGACGCUGAGGAGCGAAAGCGUGGGGAGCGAACAGG
rnacentral:rRNA from 1 species